rnacentral:rRNA from 1 species
GUGCCAGCAGCCGCGGUAAUACGUAGGGUACUAGCGUUGUCCGGAUUUAUUGGGCGUAAAGGGCUUGUAGGUGGUUUGUCGCGUCUGUCGUGAAAUCCUGUGGCUUAACCAUGGGCUUGCGGUGGGUACGGGCAGGCUUGAGUGCGGUAGGGGAGACUGGAAUUCCUGGUGUAGCGGUGGAAUGCGCAGAUAUCAGGAGGAACACCGGUGGCGAAGGCGGGUCUCUGGGCCGUUACUGACACUGAGGAGCGAAAGCGUGGGGAGCGAACAGGAUUAGAUACCCUGGUAGUCC